UAGUCACGUAGUUUGAUCAUGGCCUCAGAACGAACGCUAGCGGCAUGCCUAACACAUGCAAGUCGAACGAGACCUUCGGGUCUAGUGGCGCACGGGUGCGUAACGCGUGGGAACCUGCCUUUAGGUUCGGAAUAACUCAGAGAAAUUUGAGCUAAUACCGGAUAAUGUCUUCGGACCAAAGAUUUAUCGCCUUUAGAUGGGCCCGCGUUGGAUUAGCUAGUUGGUGGGGUAAAGGCCUACCAAGGCGACGAUCCAUAGCUGGUCUGAGAGGAUGAUCAGCCACACUGGGACUGAGACACGGCCCAGACUCCUACGGGAGGCAGCAGUGGGGAAUAUUGGACAAUGGGCGAAAGCCGGAUCCAGCAAUGCCGCGUGAGUGAUGAAGGCCUUAGGGUUGUAAAGCUCUUUUACCCGAGAUGAUAAUGACAGUAUCGGGAGAAUAAGCUCCGGCUAACUCCGUG
rnacentral:rRNA from 1 species